rnacentral:tRNA from 1 species
CCCUGUGUGGUACAGACGGUUAAUACGCUCAGCUGCUAACUGAAAGGUUGGAGGUGUGAGUCCACCCAGAGGCG